AGUUUUAUAUUCAUGGAGAUGAUAUUAGAAUGCAAUUCUAAAGGUGUAAGUAAUACUAAGACUU
rnacentral:tRNA from 1 species